CGUCGACCGGCGCACGGGUGAGUAACGCGUAUCCAACCUUCCCGUUACUGCGGGAUAACCUGCCGAAAGGCAGACUAAUACCGCAUGUUCUUCGAUGACGGCAUCAGAUUCGAAGCAAAGAUCCGUCGGUAACGGAGGGGGAUGCGUCUGAUUAGCUAGUUGGCGGGGCGACGGCCCACCAAGGCGACGAUCAGUAGGGGUUCUGAGAGGAAGGUCCCCCACAUUGGAACUGAGACACGGUCCAAACUCCUACGGGAGGCAGCAGAG
rnacentral:rRNA from 1 species